UACGGAGGGUGCAAGCGUUGUCCGGAUUUAUUGGGUUUAAAGGGUGCGUAGGCGGCCUAUUAAGUCAGUGGUGAAAGCCAACAGCUCAACUGUUGAACUGCCAUUGAUACUGAUAGGCUUGAGUACAGACGAGGUAGGCGGAAUUGAUGCUGUAGCGGUGAAAUGCAUAGAUAGCAUCAAGAACACCGAUUGCGUAGACAGCUUACUAGGCUGUAACUGACGCUGAGGCACGAAAGCGUGGGGAGCGAACAGG
rnacentral:rRNA from 1 species